GCGUCUCCCUGGGAACCUCCCACUCAUCCUCCCACCACGGCUUCUGGGGCUUCUGGGUCUGGCAGGGGCGGCUCAACCUCGUGCACAGCCCGUCCGAAGAAUCUGUGAGGACAAGGGAGGAGGGAAGGAGCCGUGCGUGUUCCCGGGCGCCAGGAGCUGCCUCUCCGCGUCCUUGCGGCUCAGGGUCUUGAAGAACCAGCUGCGCAAGGCAGAAGCGAGGGCUUCUUUCGUCUGUUGGUCCGUUCUUCCUCCAUCACCCUCCAGCAUUCACACACCCCUAGCAUCUCUCCUUUGCUCCGAGGUCCCUGGAUCUACGCCCAGCAAUCCCCCACGACGAGUCCCCACUCACGGUUCGGGCUCCAGGCUGUUCGCUCUGGCCACAAAGUUGAAGGGGAUGUAACCUUCCUGGCCCGUGGUCACGGACUGCGCCUUCCACCACUCGCCGUUCCUGCGCGACAGCGGCGGUUAGCACGGUCUGCUCAGCCUUGGACUUGGCUGGAAACCCUCCCUCAGAGCCCCCAGUUAGGCCAUGCCACCCCACCCUCCAGCUCAACACUCCGGAGCCUCCCAUUUUGUCUUAAGGGCACCCACUGCAAGCCAGAUCAGGGGCCACAGGGGGGCUGCAGUACCGGAGAUCCCUGCUCCCUCACACUCUACGGCAGGGCAAGGAUGGAUGGGGUGAAGGGGACACUCACUGCUCCAGGAUACGUAGCUGUUCACCCUUCUCGAAGCCCAGGUCUCCAUCGUGGGAAGGCUCAUAGCUGUGCAGGGCGAUAACCAGGUUGUCUGUAAAGACAGGGGGAGUCAGGGAGAACCUGCUUGGAAUAGGCUGGGAGCACGAGUUCAGGAGUUACAUGGUAGCCCACACGACUGAGGGGGAAGGAGGAAGGACAGGUGGUGAGUAGGUGAGGAGGAGAUGGAGGCUGACAGCCAAGGGUCCACAGGACUUAUCUUCCAGGCCCUGCUGGUUGAAGUCACCUUGCAGUGGAGAAGCUGGGGGGUUGGAGCCCUCGUAGGUGACCAGUGGAUCCCGCACUUCAGAGCCAUUCCAGAUGGACAGCUGAGGGGUGGGGAAUGAGUGGAGUCAGAGAGCUGGAGGCUGGGUCAGACCCUGGCUUGCCUCCCCACUGCCCUGCUCUCCUUCACUUUGGCUUGGCUGGGUCUUAUCACUGAAUUUACCAACCACUUGCUGCGUGACCUUAUGAGAACCCCUUUCCCUCUCCGGGGUUCUUUUCCUUUCUGUUGUAGGGGAGAGGGCUCGCUGUUAUUUCAAGGACCUAUAGUGGUGGUCCGUUUCUCUCUUCCGGGUUGUACACCCCACCCGACUCCCUCACCAAGCCCCCUGUCUUGCCUCUUACCAUGGCCUUGCCAUCCAGUGGGAUUAUGGGGUAAUGGCAGUUCUCACAUACAUCGAUGUUUUCCAUCCAGUCAUCUUCAGGGUUUGAGCUGCAGCUACAGCCCAUGGUACCUGGGGGAAUGGAGAGGGGAAUGAAAGGGCUCCCCCAAGAUCUACCCCUGUAACAUCAGACAUGCUAAGGCCUAGCCCUGGGAACUUCCAGAAGGACCCAAGAUUGUCAGCCCCCCAGCCCCCAUUCACCAGCCACAGAAAAGCUGGAGUGGGGUCCUAGCUCCCAGUAAAGUCACACAUGCCCUCCUGCUGAGGCCUAGGCCCCGCCCUCCCACCUGGGCUGGGCAAACCGCCACAGGCACCUUUGUUAGUCUAGUUGCCCACUUCCUGCCUCUCCCCCCUCCCGCUCUCUCUGCCCAUCCCCCAAGUUGGGGGACUACCUACUAGAGAUCGCAUACACUUCCCCAAGCCCUAGGGAAGACCUAAGUUUUGAUCCUCCCCUACCAGAGGGGUGUGUGCGCCCCACCUCCUAAUUACAAUUCCCCUUUCCAGACGAGGAAGCUGGAUAAGAGACCCUUUCUCCCGAAUGUCAGCCAUCAGGCCUCUGUUGCCCCAAAGCCCCCACACACAAAGUCUCCUUCAGAGGCUUCUUCCUGCUUCUCCCCAGCAGAAAACACUUCAGCGGCCCUCUUGGCCAUAACUUUUACUUGUUUGCUUGCUUUAGCAGUGGAAACUUUUUGUCAGAUGAAAUCAAGCAGAACCUCAUAGAUAAAGCAGGUAAAAGUGGGGCUGUUCUGCCUGAAGCAGAGUGUGGUGCGACCUCACUCUGAAGCUCCUGGGAGUCCCUGCAGCACCUCCUCCCCCAGGGCUGCUCCUCAGGACCGCUUGGAAACAGUAGUCCUCAGGGGACACUGGUUCGAUCCCUGGUCUGGGAAGAUCCCACAUGCUGUGGAGCAACUAAGCCCGUGCGCCACAACUACUGAGCCCGCGUGCUGCAACUACUGAAGCCUGUGCGCCUAGAGCCUGUGCUCCACAACGAGAGAAGCCACCGCCAUGAGAAGCCCGCGCACCACAACGAAGAGUAGCCCCCGCUCGCCGCAACUAAAGAAAGCCCGCACGCAGCAACAAGGACCCAAC